rnacentral:rRNA from 1 species
GACGAACGCUGGCGGCGCGCCUAACACAUGCAAGUCGAACGAGAGAGAGGGAGCUUGCUUCCUCGAUCGAGUGGCGAACGGGUGAGUAACGCGUGAGGAACCUGCCUCAAAGAGGGGGACAACAGUUGGAAACGACUGCUAAUACCGCAUAAGCCCACGACCCGGCAUCGGGAAGAGGGAAAAGGAGCAAUCCGCUUUGAGAUGGCCUCGCGUCCGAUUAGCUAGUUGGUGAGGUAACGGCCCACCAAGGCGACGAUCGGUAGCCGGACUGAGAGGUUGAACGGCCACAUUGGGACUGAGACACGGCCCAGACUCCUACGGGAGGCAGCAGUGGGGAAUAUUGCACAAUGGGGGAAACCCUGAUGCAGCGACGCCGCGUGGAGGAAGAAGGUCUUCGGAUUGUAAACUCCUGU